rnacentral:lncRNA from 1 species
UGUGCUCAAUCAGGUUUUAUUCAGGUUUUAUUCAGAAUUUUGCACCACACAGGUAGAUGGAUGAUGCAUAUAUAUAUGCAUCAACAUAACAUACGCUAUUAUAUUUCUAAUGGGAGCAGCAGCACACUUUGUGCUCCACGCUUUCGUCACACCAGCCACCGUCCUUGAAACCCUUCGAGCUACAGAUCAAGCGGCAGUUCUGGUGGUCCUCGGAAUAGGACGAGAAGUAUGGCCUUCUCGGUGGCGGCGGUGACUUCUUGGGUUUCCCGAUGCCUGCACACACAUCGCAGUCCAAACGAGAUCGGCCGGUUAAUUAAUAGAUAAUUAUCGCCGGCUCUUAGAACGAAAUAGUAACUAUUGCGUAAGUAUUUAGAAGUAGAGAUCGAAGGUGCCUACAGCCGCCGGCUUCGUAGCAUGGAGACAGUGAGGACAGAAUGGCAACAGCCAACAGAAGCGCGACGAUUGUGCUGCUCUUCAUCACCGCCAUAAGGAAAGAUGAUCAAGCUUCCCUUAUUACCACGAGCUAGUGACGAAGAGAGAUUAUAUGAUUUGUUUGUUCUAAUCUCCGUCUUCGAUCUCACUUGUACUUAUAUAGAAGACGAAUCCAUCUCUAGCACAUCUCAUUUGUGCCAGAAGAUCUAGUUAUAGAUAUAGAUAGAGAUAGAGAUAUAGAAAUUUUACAUAUAGAUAUAGUUAUGGAUAUAGAUAUUGGGAUAUGUUGUUGUUGAUAUAAUAUGAUGAUAUUGGUUUAGUCAUACAAAGACAACCAACAUAUUUGCAAUGGUUGUUCUUCCACUACUAAUUAUUUUGCAAUCUAAUAAGAAGAUAUUAGACAUUAAUCCAUAAAUGCUUAGACGAAACAUACCUAAGCUUGGAGGUGCGUCUACAUAGCAUAGACACUACCAGAGUCACAUGCUUUGCCGAGUGCCCCAUGCACUCGGCAAAGCCAGAAAUACACACAGUAAACCUUUUGCAGAGUGUCACACCCGGCAAAGGGUAAACGGCAAAAAAAUCAUUGGCAAAGGCGGUUCAACCCUAUUUAGUCGUUGUCACAAUCGCUGCUGUUGUUUCCAGCCGCCACCAUUGUUUCCAGGCCGUGUCCAACGGUUCACCCCGUUGUCUCUCUUUCCUGUAUACUCGGUGUAUGGACGUCUGGAAUGUGGUCCAACGAUGUGUGAUGACACCGAAGGAAAUCAACAGAAGGCGGGAAGGAACCAUGGCUACUAGGAGGGUUCGAUGUCAAGUGAAGCCCAACUCUCGCGUCCAUGGGCCAGAUUGGACCCAAUGAGUGUUUUAGUGUUUUCUUUUUGUUUUGGCAUGUGGUAUAAAGAAAAGGACUUUAUGAAUCGCCAAGGGCGGCUUGGGGCAUAAGUUGAGGCCGACUGCGUUCGGAAAGGGAGGGCUCUUCCUCUGUAACCUGAAUCAUGAAUUCCAGUGAUAAUUUGAUACUUCGUGAGAGGUGGAGGGUACCAGGAGCCGUGCUCGUGAUCCAAAUCAUGUCUUUGUGUUCAUCGGCUCUGUUACCUGUUCCAUGGUUCUAUUACAAUUGGUAUCAGAUUCCUGGUUCCUGAUCCUGGUGAAACCUCUAGAAUAUAUUCUUCGCCCUUAUUACAAUACAAGAAACCAGAAGUAGUUAGAAGCGAUGGAGAAAAUAUCAUUGAUCUAUCGGUGCUCUUGCUGAACAUGCAACUCUAGAGUGAAUCAAGCAAGCAAAAUAAUAUGUCAAAAGAAACAUGAUUACAUGACUGCCUAUCUGUCCAAGAAAAAUAAUUGAGAUUGUUUAAGAAAAAUAAAAUGCAUAACUGUCUAACUGUCCAAAAUGCACAACUUGUAAACUCUUAAGAUAAAAUAUUUUUGUCAUUGUAUUGGCAUUAGUAAUGUCUAAGAAAUGUGAGUGAGUUAGUAAGUUAUAAAAAUGCCACCAAUAAUAUUAUCUAAGUAAUGUGAGGCUGCCGGUAAGACCUACUCUUACUAAAGUCGCCAGAACACACAUGUACCUAACACUACCGUAAAGGAUGCAUCUCAUAUUCUAGUAGGUGCAGAACAUACACUAUCAGCACCAAGUCAAUGAUUUUGACACAUCAAAGUGUUACCGACCAAAACACACCUAAAUAAAAUUCAUCAUGCUUGCACAGACACUUCAGUUACGACUACACCAUAGAAAAUUCAAUUUUCAAGAUUGGAUAGAACCUAUCAGGCAAGAAGGGAUACACUACUGCAAAUUCAGAGAUGCAUAUUGCUCUAUUCAGGGAAUAAGAAAUACACUAAUUGGAUCUCAGAGAAGCAUUUGACAGCUCCAUUUUGAGAAGUGCAAGAUCUGUACCAUUUUUUUCAACCUUUUUUUACGCUGUUUUAGUUCCAUAAUAAUAAUAAUAAUAAUAAUAAUAAUAAUAAUAAUAAUAAUAAUAAUAAUAAUAAUAAUAAUAAUAAUAAUAAUAAUAAUAAUGGCAAUGUACGUAGGUGCAGUGUGUUCCUUUGACAUCUUACGUUUCUUUUUUCCUAAACCUUUUGCUCCAUAUAAUUUGCCACGUUUCGUUUCAGGACAUCCGGAAAAAAGCCAGAUUUUAUUCAGAAUUUUGCACCACACAGGUAGAUGGACGAUGCAUAUAUAUAUGCAUCAACAUAACAUACGCUAUUAUAUUUCUAAUGGGAGCAGCAGCACACUUUGUGCUCCACGCUUUCGUCACACCAGCCACCGUCCUUGAAACCCUUGGAGCUACAGAUCAAGCGGCAGUUCUGGUGGUCCUCGGAAUAGGACGAGAAGUAUGGCCUUCUCGGCGGCGGCGGUGACUUCUUGGGUUUCCCGAUGCCUGCACACACAUCGCAGUCCAAACGAGAUCGGCCGGUUAAUUAAUAGAUAAUUAUCGCCG